AUCUGCAGCUCAGGGUCAGGAGAGACGUCUUCUAAACAGUGCAUAGAAAGUCACUGGAGCCAUUUGGAACCUUCAAGUGGUGGGCGUUGUGGAAAUGAGAGCCCUUGAGGGAAAACUUAGCCAAGAACAAAUCAUUCCAUCCAGGAAACAGAAUCAAUGAAGCCACAGGCUUUGCUCAAGUGACCUCUUUCUCUACCCAAACUGAUUGACGGAUGCCACUUAGGACCACGGAGCCAGCUAACCAGGCAUUUUCCAAGGCUGCCAGAGCAGGGUCCCUCGUUCAUCUUUAAGCAAGUCUUUGCUCUUCCCAGAGACGACUGGUGCUUGUUUUCUGAGUGUUAAACCUUGAAUACCGACUCCCUUCAGCCUCUUGUUAGAGCAACUGUCAGGGAUGCUGGGGCUACUGAUUCUUGGCAUGGGCUUCAGCCAGAUCAUAAUGGCAGCUCAGGGGCUAUAGCCUGAGACUUUACAUAAAAGUACUGUGUAGGGGGGAUAUCUAGGGCUGGUGGCUUCUGGUGGGUGGUGCGGCAUGUGCAUGUUUAGAGCUGACAGCAUGGCAGCUCCCUGGCAGGCUACUGAAGUCUGUCACUUCUCUGUCGGGUGCACAGAGAGCACGCGAGACACCGUCGUCAGAGCCCCACAUGAGUUCAUUGUUCACGGCCUUCUAGUGCACUAUGGUGGUCUUAGCAUAUAAGGUUGACCACUGUAGUGGGUAGCCAUUCCAGCUUUGACCUGGAAGUUCCAACCCGCAUUGAGGCUUCGGUAACUGUCACGCCUACAAGGCAGAGCCAAGAGAGGACCCUAAAGACUCAAGAUCUGGAUGCGCCAGCUCUCUUGGUUCCUGGACCCUGGACGCUGGAGGUAGACCGAGCAGAGUUCUCCAGAGAACACCGCUGGACUGCGCUACACCUUUCCCAGACUCUAUAAACUAUCCCUUCACUUGUAAGUUAACCCACAAAAUAGACCUCCCUUUUAACUACGUGGAGUGGCCAUAAUAAUUUUACCAAUAGACCACGUGUAUUGCAUAUAUUCGUUAUUCUCCAUAUUGCUGUGACCAAACACUCGACAAGAAGCCACUGAAGGAAGGGUUGACGGUGGCUCACAGGUGGAGGAGGGUUCAGUCCACCACGGUGAUAAAGGCAUGGCCGAGUUACAGAGAGUCUGUUGCCCGGCCUGUUACCUCAUCAGCCGUUUGUGAAGCAGAGGGCUGGAACCAUGGUUAAGAUAUAACCUUCUAGCCACACCCCUGCCAUCCCAUAUUCUCCUGCCAAGCCCCACGUCCAAGAGACUCCACAACCUCCCAGAUGGUGCCCCAAAGUAGUAAUCAAGUAUUCAAGCUUAAGUCUGUCAGGACGUUGUCCAUUCGAACCCAUCCCAUCAUGUAUGAUACACCCGGGGUCUGAAGGCAAAGAGUACCAACACCUCCAUCCUGGAAAGAAUGGAUCUGAUCAUGUCACCGCCUUCACUGAGCAUUUCAACCACCAGCAGACAGAGGGGAAUCAUUUGGCUCAUCACAAGCGCCAGUUCUCCCUGGUCCGAUGCGCGGUCCCCGUGAGCCCUCAGACGUGAUGGACUGUAAGGUGAAGUGACUGACUGUGUCCUCCAGGGCACGUGAAGGAUGAUCUCUGGGAGCUCCGAGCUCCAAAUUAUACGCUGAUAAAAGCAGCUGCCCUGCCUCACCUGCUGUCAGCGGGCCUGCUCCCAGACUGUUGUGAAAAUGCAGCUUUGUGACAUGCCAGGGGCUGCUCAGCAGCUUCCCCGCUGAUUGGUUUUCUGGCAGAGCUGAGAAGGCAGAGGCUGGUCCUCAGAGGCUGAAUUCCAGGCUGGGCUGGAAAGCUGGACAUCUAUGCAGCUCAAGUCAAGAGUGUUUCCCUCCUGUUUUGCUGACCUUUAUGGAUUCAGAGGCUGUGAAGGACUGAAAAACUUUACAUAAAGUAGCAAGUUUACCAGGACAGAUAGAGGGCUAUGAUACAGCUUUAUUCACACCUUCCUGGGAGGGCUGAGGUUUUCUGUAAGUGUCUUCUUCAGGGAGAGAGAGUGAAGAAUACAGCCCGAGACAUCUUUCAAUACCAAGAUGUACUGGCAAUUUUGUGGGUUGACUUGACACAAGCUGGAGACAUCAGAGGAAGGAGCCUUCGUUGAGGAAAUGCCUCUAUGAGAUUCAGCUAUGAAGCAUUUUCUGAAUUAAUGAUCAGUGGGGGAGGGCCCAGAUCAUGGUGGGUGGUGCCAUCCCUGGGCUGGUGGUCCUGGGGGUUUAUAAGAAAGCAGGUUGAGCCGGGCGGUGGUGGCGCACGUCUUUAAUCCCAGCACUCGGGAGGCAGAGGCAGGCGGAUCUCUGUGAGUUCGAGGCCAGCCUGGUCUCCAAAGCAAGUACCAGGAAAGGCGCAAAGCUACACAGAGAAACCCUGUCUUGAAAAAAACCAAAAAAAAAAAAAAAAAGAAAGCAGGUUGAGCAAGCCAAGUGAAACAAGCCAGUAAGCAGCACCCCUCCGUGGUCUCUCCAUGUGCUCCUGUCUUCAGGAUCCUGCCCUGCUUGAGUUCCUGUCCUGACUUUCUUCAGUGAUGAACAGCAAUGCUGAAGUGUACGACAAAUAAACCCUUUCCUCCCCAACUUGCUUUUUGGUUAAGAUAUUUCAUCAUAGCACUAGAAAUCCUAACUAAGAUACCAGAUGAAAGGCCAACCUGGGCCCUAGAAACCUGGACCAUUUCUGUGUAGUCCACUCUCAAAGGGCACUGAACAGCAGUCAUCAUUGGUACCACUUAAUGUGUGCCCAUGCGAUGGACUCAGUUCAGCCGCAUGGAACCUGCCAGCACUGACUAAAAGCCAAAUAAAAGUUCCCUCCUAGGUGUCUCGUGCACCAUUCAGCUGCCUGGCAUUGGCUUUCCUCAUUACAACCCUGAGCACUCGGGACCAAUACUCUGCACGUGAUUAUGAGUCUAUCUGGCUAAAGGCAUUAAAAGCCUUAUGGUAUAAAUGACCAGAAAAACUGCUAUAGGAGAAUAAGCAUAAUAUCAGCUAAUUCUUACAAAGCAGCCACUGUGUAGGAGGCACGAUCCUUGAGGAUUGUCCUGCAGGCUCUUGACCAGUGACACCAUGGAUGGACCAGAGUCCAGUUAAAAGGUGGGUCUGGUAGACUGAUUUCCAAAAGCAUAUUUCAACUACAUGUCAUCUACAAGGUGGUGUACUUUUGAUGCAAAGACACAAAAAGAUUGACUCUUAAAAAAAAAAAAGACCUGAAACUCAAAUAGCAAGUCCAUGAAAACUGGAGGAGAGAGAGACACCAAGGCCAGACCACAGGGACUGUAAAACAAAGAUUCAACAACUGUAAAUCUAUGCACACCAGAUAACAGAUACAAAAAUAUGCCAAGAAAGGCAAAGACAACAAGGAAAUCUAACAAAGCAAGUUUGAGAUUUCAAGGACCCACUUUGAAUAAUUGGUAAAAUUAGGCAGGAAAAAAAAACCACAAGAAACUAAAUUAACAGACAUCCAACAGCAAAUCACACAUCCUCCUCAAGAACAAGUGUGUGCUACUCUUCAAGACCAAUGCUAUGCUAAGUCCAAGAAAGAAUGCCCUAGUAAAUUUAAUGGUAUUUAAAUAAUGAGAAAGUGUGUUCUCUCACCAUAGAGAAAUGAAACAUGAAGGCUGAGUCAUGGAAAAUUUUGGGAAUAUCCCAAGUAUAUGAAAAUUAAAACAUACUUAAAUAAAGGAUGACUUAAAUAAAUUGAAAGAGAAAGAAGGCAACAUUUUAAGGUGAUGGAAAUGAAGAUCUGUCAGAGUUUAAAGAAUGCAGCUGAAAGUUAAGGGGAAACAUAACAUAAAUGACUAUAUUAAGGAGGAAGAAAGCUCUCAAAUCAUUAACCCAAAAUCUCAUCUGGAGACACUGAAAAACUAAGACCAAACUAAACUUAGAACUGUAGAAUAUUGUUUUAAGGUGUGUUACAUUUGUUUAUGCUAUGGAACAUUUGCUUAAUGAUGCAAAGAUGUGUUGCAUUCUUUUAUGUUGCAUUUAUUUAACUCUGUGAAGCUGUGUUACAGUGCCUGUCUAAAACACCUGAUUGGUCUAAUAAAGAGCUGAAUGGCCAAUUGCAAGGCAGGAGAAAGGAUAGGCAGGGCUGGCAGGCAGAGAGAAUAAACAGGAGGAGAAAUAUGGGAGCAGAAGAAGGAGCAAGAGAACAAGGAGAGGAAGAGGCUAGGGGCCAGCUACCUAGCUACCCAGCCACCCAGCCAGCCACAGAGUAAGAGUGAAAGUAAGAUAUACAGAAGAAAAGGAAAAAGCCCAGAGACAAAAAUGUAGAUGGGCUAAUUUGAGUUAAGAAAAGCUGGCAAGAAACAAGCCAAGCUAAGGCUGGGCAUUUAUAAUUAAGAAUAAGUCUCUGUGUGUGAUUUAUUUUGGAGCUGGGUGUUGGGCCCCCCAAAAGAGCAAAGAAACCAACAGCAGACACUGAAAAAUUAAGACCAAAUUAAACUUAGAACAAACAGAAAGAAGGAUUAGAGCAGAAAUCAAUGACAUAUCUCAUUAAUAUGACAUAUCAAUAUGCAAAUCAAAGCCAUAACGAGAUGACACGUAACAUUCUACUAUGGUUAGAAUAAAAAAAAUCAAGCUGUUGCAGGAUAUUUGAUCACACUGUAUGGAAAGAUGCUCUCUGAUUAGUUUAAUAAAUAGCUAGGCAGGAGAGGUUAGGCAAGACUUCCAGGCAGAGAGAGGAACUUGGGAUGAAUCUGGCAAGGCAGAAAGUGCCAGCAAGAUGGGUAGAACAAGUCCGGUGUAUAGAAUGAGAGAGAGGUAAAAGUCAUGUGGCAAACUGUAGAUUAACAGAAACAGGUUAAUUUGAGUUAUAAGAGCUAGUUGGGAACAAGCCUAAACUAAAGGCCAAGCUUUCAUAAUUAAUAAUAAGUUUCCAUGUCAUUAUUUGUGGGCAGGCAGUCUAAAGAAAAAGUGUACUACCAAUCAAGUUUGGCCAAGUGUGCAGAGAAUCCAGAACACAGGCAUCCUGCUUAUAAGAAAGUAAAUGGUACUUCCACUUUGGAGAACAAUUGGACAGAUCUUCACAUGAUGAAACCUGGAGUUUCCACAUAGCCCAGCAAUUCUAUUCAUAGGUAUAUUCUCAAGAAAAACAAAACCAUACAGCCAUACAAAAAUGUGUAUGUCAAUGUUCAGGAUAGUAACAUUCACAUACAUUAUUCAUCAGAGCCCAAAGGUGGAACUACCCAAAUGUUCAUCAGUCAAGAAACUAAACAAGAAUGUUAUAUCUGUAGAAGGGGAUAUGAUUCAUCCCCAAAACAGGAAUUGAGUGCGUAAAACAGCGCUAUGGAGAUGCUAUGCAUACGGAAAGAAGCUGGUUACAGAAUACCACAGAUUAUAAAAUUCUGUUCAUAUGAAAGCUUAGAAUAAACAUAUUGUAGGCAGAAAGUAGAUUGAUUAUUGCAUCUGGCCAGGGAGAUGGGGGAUUUGGGAGUGAUGGAUAAAGACUAUAGAGUUUCUGAGGAGUUGCAUGUUUUAAUUGUGCUAUGAUGACAUACAGGUAACAAAUCACAGAGUUGUAUGUUUUAAAUGAGGCCUUGUAUACUCAAAAUUACAUUUUAAUAAGGCUUUUUAAACGUUAUUUGCAUUAAGAGGAAGGGGACCAGCAGGUGGGGUGGGGAGAAGAGGAGAUAAUGGAGGUGUGAGCAUGAUAAAAGUACAUUAUAGAUGUGUGUGAAGUAUCAUAAGGAAGUCUAUUACUUUGCACAAUUAAUAUAUACUAUAAAAGAAUUUCAGUUUGAAUUAAUUCUCUUAUUUUCUGGUUUCGUUCAGGAUAGAAACAUAAAUAAAUAACAGUGCCUUGGUUUGCUUUCUGUUGCUGAGAUACACACUAUGACCAAUGAGCAUCUUGGGGAGACAAGUGUUUAUUUCAUCUUACAGGUUAUAGUCCAUAAUCAGCUAAAGCUAAGACAGGAACAGGAGGCAGGAACUGAAGCAGAACCACAGAGGAAUGCUGAUUGUUUACUUGUUUGAUUGUGCCUACUUCUGCUCAGCUUGCUCUUUACUCAACACAUGACCACCUACCCAGGGGUGGUACUGCCUACAGUGGGUUGGGCAUUCCUACACCAAUCGCUAAUCAAGAAAAUGUUCCACAGACUUGCCCACAGCCAAUGGGAUGGAAGCAAAUCCUCAAUUAAGGUUCCCUUUUUUCAAGUGACUCUAGAUUAUGUCAAGUUAACAAAAAUUAGCCAACACAGAUUAGACAGACAGACAGACAGAUAGAUGAUAGAUAGAUGGUAGAUAAUAUAGCUAUCACUUACCUAGGUGUAACAUGUGUAACUAUCAUGAAGAAAUAGUUACUUGAAACAAAUAGCACCUGCCACAGACAGAUACCAAUUAAACCCUAAAUUAUAUACAGCUUUCCACCACUAUAUUUCUUCCCUUUAACUCAAAUGCAAGACUCUUAGAGCAAAAUGAAUGUGAUAGUCAAAUGCAAUGUGCCCCUAGCAUUGUGACUAGCCAUUUUAAAAAAAAAAAAAUAAAACUAAUAUAUAACACCCUCAUCACCAUCAAUGCUGACUUGUCACCACUUCCAACAUCACCCACGUCCUGAGCAUCUCAUCUACCUCCCGUAACUCCGUUUGCUUUCUGGUACAUUAAUACUGAUUUUAAUUGUUCCAUGGUAUGUAUCUGUAUGUGCUGCACAUUCACAUAACAUGUCUGCGUUUAUAUCUAUGCGUUUGUAUAUAGACUAGAAACUUCCCAAAGUGUUUAAGGUAGGGGUUAAAUUACAAUUAAAUAAUACAGCGUAUUGUAUAUUGACCAACAGCCUCACUAGGAAGCUCCAUUGUGUUCUCCCAGCUGUCAAGCACAGCACUGUGAAUGUCUGGCUCUUGGCUUUUAUCCCAAGAUAAUCUGUUAGGUGUCUCUGUCAGUCCUUGCAGCUGGUGGCAGCUUCCUGUCAAGCGAGAAGGCUGGGAAGAUGCAUUUCUUCCUAUGAGAGUUGUAGCUUAAAUGAACUAGGACUUUUCCUCUUGAAAUUUGGUACCAAUGAGAGAGUCGAUAUAAAUACCAAAGGACUGAAAAUCGUCCCAGUUAAGGGUGGCUAAAUCCUCUCAGGAAAAGGAUUCCUCCUCACCUGCUAAUGUGCCCACCUUCUACUCAUCCCUCUGAUUGUUCAAAACAAACAAAGCCCACGGCUUCCUUGCCAGUCCCCACCUGGUGACUUUGAUGUGGUUGACUCAUAUGUACCCGUCACACAGGCAUCUGAUCCAUCAUUUUCUAUUUUUGUAACUCAAUUAAGUUCUGGCUAAUUUCACAUCAAAUUAGUCCUUAAAGCAAACUCAUUAAAUGCCGAUAUAAAAUAUGUAGUAUUUUAUGGCUUUUGAAUAAUGGGGAAAAUUUAAAUUGUUCACCUAACUUUUCAGAAGUGAAGGUACUGUGAAAAGAUUUUGAAAGAAAGGCAA